UUUGCAAAUGCCGGGCAGGUUGACGGUACAAAAACCAAAGAAAAGUUCAACCUAGCAAUGUCAAACUUGACUGCCAAGGAUGCAAUUACAGUGUAAGUUGGAGAUUUUCUCAUCUUAAGGCCGCUUUACAAAUUGUUAUCGACACACGCAUCGGAUGAUCUUGUUACAGCAAUUUAUCGAGAGGAUCGAGAUGCUUGUGUUAGAGUGCACAAAGUUGUGUUCAGUUUUGGGUUUCGUUGUGUGAACUUAUGCAAAUGCAAUGUGCUGCGUAGUCCAUUUGAUCCUUUUUAUUUUUGCAAUAUAUUAUUUGAUUACUAGGGA